rnacentral:rRNA from 1 species
UUAAGCCAUGCGAGUCGAACGAGUUUAGGCUCGUGGCGUACGGCCCAGUAACACGUGGAUAACCUACCCUUAGGACCGGGAUAACCUUGGGAAACUGAGGAUAAUACUGGAUAGGCAAUUAUUUCUGCAAUGGUUUUUUGUUUAAAUGUUUUUUCGCCUAAGGAUGGGUCUGCGGCCGAUUAGGUAGUUGGUUAGGUAAAGGCUUACCAAGCCGUUGAUCGGUACGGGUUGUGAGAGCAAGAGCCCGGAGAUGGAACCUGAGACAAGGUUCCAGGCCCUACGGGGUGCAGCAGGCGCGAAACCUCCGCAAUGUGAGAAAUCGCGACGGGGGGAUCCCAAGUGCCAUUCUUAACGGGAUGGCUUUUCAUUAGUGUAAAGAGCUUUUGGAAUAAGGGCAGGGCAAGACCGGUGCCAGCCGCCGCGGUAA